UAACCCUUAGAAAUAAAAAUAAAAUAGUUGUAACAAGUGGAAAUAAUGAAAGAGAUUUUUUUUUCAAAAAAAAUACCUUAUGCUCUCUUAUCGUUUGGCUUUUUGAAUUCAAAGAAAAACCUAUUUUUUUGUAAGUCUAGCCACGUUAUCACCUAAUGAAAGACUCUAAUGAUCAAUGACUGGUGAUAUAUCUUGUAUUAUUAUUUAGAUGAAAUGAAAAGUGUUUCUAUAGUACAUACAUUGUCUAAUUUUUAUUUUAGAGAAACACUAACGAUUGAGAGAUACUCAGUGAUAUCAUAAUCCGGAUGAAUGAUUACUUGUUGAUCUAGACAUGUUUUAAAAAACUUACUUUAGUCAAGAAAAUGAUUCAUCUUUAUGCUAUGGUUUAUGGGUAGUCAUGUUAUUGAUUACGAACUUGCCUUUGAAAGAAUAUCAUGUCAUAAAAAUAAUUUGAAAACUCUUAACCCGAGUUAGUGAAUCCUGUCAAUGAAACAUGCAUUCAAGCUUUUCUAAACCAUUUAAUUAAUUUUUUUUGAAGAUCAAUGAUGUUUUUCGAGUUAGUGAAUAUUUUGAUCUAUUUGUGAAAACGAUCAAUGAUGUUUUUCAGAUCUGUGAUAUCAAAGAAGAUCCAUUUGAUUUUUAACUUCACUUUUUUUUUUGUAUUCCAUGUUCUUUAGGUCGAUUUAUGUUCUUGUAGGUAAAAUAGAAAGGAAUAAUUAUUUGAGAAAACAAAAUAAUCGAAAAAAGUUUGGAUUUUCAUUUUGUUGGUGUUGAUAAUGAAAAAGGAAUAAUUUGUGGUUAGAGUUUUUAGAAUAGAAAAUGGGUUUGAUGAUUUUGAGUGAUGAUAGAUAAUUUUAUGGAGUACUAUGAUGGAUUUGUUGAGUUUUUAAUGUUGUUCCUUUAUUUUGACAUAUCUCCAUAUUUAAAAGUCACAAUGGUUUUCAAGUUGUUAAUGUUACUGGGAAUGCUCAAGAGCCCAAUAUGUCAUCGUAUUGUAUCAAUGCAAUUGUUCUGACCGUAGCAGUUGGUUGCUCUCUAUUUCGAUUCAGUCAAAUGCAAUCAAUCGGGUGCAGCAGCUCUAAUGAGAAAAAUUGGAAAUCAUAACUAUUCGGAUUGUUCGAUAUGGAACAUUGAAAUACAUUAGACAAGAUUGGUUACACUUAUUUUGGCUUUAGGCUUGGAAAGGACAAACUUAUGUCUACUAUAUGAGAAGGACUAUUGUAUGGGAAGGACAAGCUCAUUGAUCAGUCACAAUAUUGAUAUUUUAAGAGGUUUUACAAUGUCUACUGCGUGAAGAUAUGAGUAAUUUUCGACAUCUGGAACAACUUUUGAACAACUUAUGAGCAUAGUUGUAAUAGGUACUACAAGUCAAAAAAACAAGUUUCAAGAAAUAGAUAAAGUUAACUACCCUAGAAAAGGAUGACUUUUGGUUUCUUUCAAUGAGUUGUUUUUCUAUGAUGUACUAUUCUAUAAUUCAAAAGUUAAGUGAAAUAUAU